rnacentral:lncRNA from 1 species
GUGCUUGCAUGUAAAUUAAAGAUUUUUAUUACAUAGGCCAUUAAUGACUUGUGGCUUAGUUGACACUCUGGUAGAGCCACUAGGCUUUGAUGGAAGACAAAUUCAGAAGACAAGAGCCCCAAACUGAACAAAAAGGUAAAGCUACAGGACACUCUUGGAACAAAGAAAGAAAAAUUAAAAUGAGGCAGAAAUAUAUAUUAAACCUGCCAGAAAAAAAAUCCAAAAUAAAAAAAUAAAAAAGGUGGAAAUCUAUAUACAGAUUCAGAAAGGAGGUAAAAAAAG